AUGGCGAAAGCUUUGAGGGUUGGCAGUGUCAUCUCACUUUGUUCCCUACGGAACACGACACCCCAUUUUCCCCUUCUCUCCCACGCCACGCGCUUUCGUUCCAAGUUUCCAUUUUUCAGCCUCUCAUCGUCACCAAACCCAUCUGGGUCUCCUUCAUUUUGCACUCUCUCGUCUUCUUCUUCUUCUUCUUCUGUUUCCACAGAUGAGGCAGUCACUAGCAAUAAUGGUGAAGCUGAGAACAAUGUUAAGGACGCGGCUGGGUUGCUUGACAUAAGGGUUGGACGCAUUCUAAGGGCGUGGAAACACGAUGAAGCUGAUUCUCUUUAUGUGGAAGAGGUCGAUAUUGGUGAACCUGAACCCAGAAUCAUAUGCAGUGGCCUUGUCAAAUACAUCCCUCUUGAACACCUUCAGGGGAAAAAAGUAAUUGUCCUUUCCAACCUGAAGCCAAGGAAUAUGCGUGGUGUCAAGUCCAGUGGAAUGCUGAUGGCUGCUUCUGAUGCAAAGCAUGAGAAUGUUGAACUUCUGUUCCCUCCCGAGGAAGCAACUACUGGUGAAAGAAUAUGGUUUGGAACGGAAGAUGAGAAGGAUAAUCAACCUGCUGCUGCCACUCCAAACCAGAUACAAAAGAAAAAGAUAUGGGAAUUGGUGCAGCCUCAUCUUAAGACAGAUGUUUCUUGUACUGCAAUGCUAGGGGAGCAUGUCAUGCGUACAUCUGUUGGUUCAGUAGCAUGCCAGUCAUUGCAGAAAGCAAAUAUCUCCUGAUCAGCACUGUGAAUUAUUUACCCUACACAGCCAUUCAGGCAUUGCCUAUCCAUUGUGUUGAUCUGAUGAAUACAGUUGAAGGACAAAUAUUAACUUUAUCGAGAUGGUUCAGAAGCUAUGUAAAGUGCAAUCAUCGUUGAUUCGGCAGUAUACAAAUAUUUUCGGCAUGAAAAUUUGUGUAUUUUGCACUUAUAUAUAAGGGUUAUGAAUAAUUCAAGGUAUUUUCCUUAAAUGACAUAUGUGACAAGAAAAAAAAAAGUCGAAAUGAGAAUAUCCUUUCAACGUAAUCUUACUUCUAGUUAUAGAGAACAAAGACAAAUAUACUAAAACCAAUUAAUUCCCUUUAUUAGCAUUGAUAACUUAGUAUGCUCCAUUAGCAUUUAUUUUGUACUAAAGGGAGAAGAUCCGAGCAGUGUUUCUUGCACAACUUUGCCUAACCGCUAGACUAAUGCAUUCUUUUAACCUAUAUUUUAUUUCCAUUCGCACCAAAGCUUGAAUUGGCUAUGUAUCACCACCCCCUGGCCCCCAGGCCAUGAUGAUUAUCAUCAGUCAUGAUUCGUUCAUCAUCUUCUAUGGAGGGUUUCUAUUCAUGUCUAUGAUGUCAUAAUUUGGCCUCUGCCAUCCCAAGCUUGCCCCUGAGAUAUAAUUGUCCAGGAAUUUUGCAUUCGGUCAAUGCUAGCAUGGGCUCUAAUAGUAGAGUUUUGCUCUCAUUUUCUCUGUCGUCCUUUCUCAUUUCUUCUAGUAACUCUUUGCUAGAAUCAAUACCUGUUAUGCAUUCAUGAAUGAAAUAAAUUCAUGUCCACAAAUUGGAUCUAUAAGUCAGUGCCACUACAGUUAUAAAUCACCUUUAUAGGAAAACAAAUUAAAUUCAAGUGAAGUAAUUGUAAUUCCUAUAGAUAAAAAAAAAAAAAAAAAAAC